rnacentral:tRNA from 1 species
GGAUUGUGGCUUAUCGGUAGAGCCCUGGCCUAGCACGGGCGGGACCUGGGUUCGAUUCUCAGCACCA